AUAAAUAUGCCAUGUAAUAUAGAGUUAGAAACAGAAAAACAAGAAAAAAAUAAAUAUAAAUAUAAAUAUGCCAUGGCUGCCUGAAAGUUAGAAUUCCUUGCAAGAUUGAAUGGAUACCCUGCAACAUGGAACAACAAAUAAAGUCAGCAAAAGUACCAUGCUUGAGCGGUCAAUCAGCAUAGGGAAGCAUGGCGGAGCAGCAAGCAGACAGAUCCAUGUCAAGUCCAUUCAAAUAGAUGAAAGAAAGAGAUCGAGGACUCGAGGUUACCUGCUCCGGCUUGGUUUCCGUUGGGACGAGAAGCGGCUGCACUUGGGGAACAGCGACGGCUGAGUACAGGCGG
rnacentral:lncRNA from 1 species